UUCUAAACCUGAUAACAGUGAAAAUCUUUUUUAUUGGCCAAAAGCAUAUGCCUUUUAGUUGGCACAAUAUUACUGCUAUCGGUAAAACUUACCGAAAGCACAAAAAAAUUGUAACGGAUAGCAGGGCUUAUG
rnacentral:sRNA from 1 species